UUUAUCCUUUCAACAGAAUGAUAACACUUGCUGUACCAGAACCCAGUAUCAGAAAAUUAAUCAUGAUACAUGUUUGUACAAAGGAAUAUAACUAUUGGGUGUACAUGCCAAAAGCCCCUUUAUAUGCAGAACAUUUUGGGCCAACUUAAGACUAAUUUAAGAUUAAUAAGGCGCGGAGACUGGCGGAAAGAGAGGACGCCAUAAUGGAAAUUUAGAGGAAGACUGAUCACAAUAACUGUCGACUGGAAUUGGAUGUCAUUGGGGCAAAAUUUUAGUGGAGCAGCCUUGGACGAUGAUUAAAUAAUGUAGCAAUGUCCUCCACUGCAACAUGGGAAGAAAAUAUAUGUGAAACCACUAUGAUAGAGUGGUAAAAUUGGAAAAUAUUGAAGAACACCAGUAGCUUCCCUACCACACACCUUGGAUAAGUAAUGCUCACCUAUUUUGUACAGUAGUUUUACAUUGGUCUUUGUAUUUCUAGCUGGCUAGGUAGCAUUAGGGUGUGUUCCACCUGUGGUCUAAAUUGAUGAGUUUUAAUAUUAAGAAUUUAGUUGAUGUGUUCACCAUAUGCUUUUAUAGUGUUGAUAUUAAUUGUAAUAGACCUUAACACAUUUUUUAGUCAAGUCAAGUGCAAUUCAUACAGUACAUGAAAAAUA